GGGCACGUAGCUCAGGGGUAAGAGCAUCCGUCUUAUAAGCGGAAGGUCGGUGGUUCAAUUCCACCCGUGCCCA
rnacentral:tRNA from 1 species